rnacentral:lncRNA from 1 species
CUGCCUUUUGCUUCCACCCUGGAACGUGCACACAGAAUGCCAGUCACGGAGUGGGAGCAAGUGUGAGUUUGGUACUUAGGGCCAGCUCGGGGAAUCCCCAGGUGAGGUUUUCCUAGCUCUUGGCCAGACUUCCUGCUGGAGCCUCGAAGGCAAUUGGCAAGACCAGUGUCACUUUAAGAUCAGUGUCUCUGAUAUUCUCAUCUCCCUCUCUCCCAAUCUCCCUUCUCGGACUCACAGAAUUCGUACGCUUAUGCUCUGGGUUGUGUGGGAGAGAAGGCCUUCUCUAGCAGUGUCCUGCACAAAUUGGGUAAGCCAGGCGCUCACUUGGUCUCCCUUUUUUUCUCAUGGGAGGAAUACCAGCUUUCUUUUUUUUCUCUAAAGUGUGCCACCUUCUGGGAGGAAUAAUGCUUGCAAAGUUCCUCCCACCCACUCCAAGGCAUCCAAACUCUUCUGGGUUGUUUUUUGUUUUUUCGCGCUGGAACUUUUCCUCCAUAAACCUGAACUUUCCUGAAGGCCCUCUUGUCUGUAAAUAUCUGCCCGAGUCUGUGUUUUCCAGGCACCACGACCAAAAGGGAUUGGAUCUGGUUCACAGGAUCCUGCUGGUUCCACUGGGGUCUAUCUGCCUAUUAUCCAGUUCACAGGUGAGUAAGGCUUCUCCUAAAUCCCUUGGCAUAUGGUGCUAGAUAACGCAGGCUCCCACGGAAGCACUUUCAUUCCUGGAUAGAUGCCCAAUUUUAGAUGUUGAGAGAGGGCAAAUGAGGAAUGUCUUACGCUGCUAUGAUGUUGCUCCGUUAACUUUUAUGAUUUAAAUUGAUUUUCUUAAUUUCAUAUUUGUUGGCUGACCAAACGUCUAUCACACGAAUUUCUACCUUUGCCAGAAGAAGAAUUUAGCCACAUUUACAAUAUAUAUUAUCUAUCUAUCUAUCUAUCUAUCUAUAUAUUUAGGUCACAAUAAUUUCAAUUGUAGCUCAGCUUUAGUUCUUACUUCAUCCUUAGUUUUAAUCAUCCGUUAGUUGGCUGGGCUUAUUCAUCAAGUUGUUUAUUUUUCGAACGAUAUAUGCUAUAUUUAUCAUAUUCAAUAAGUUCUUAAUGUUAAGUUUUGGUUUUAAUUUGCAUGACAACUCGAUGGAUAUAAGAACUUGCCUCUUUCGCUGUUUUUCUCAGACAGUGUAGACAUUAUUCUUCUAUUUCCCGCCAUCGAUGGGCCUGUGGCAAAGUCCAGGGUGGGGUUCACAUUCUGCAUUGUAAGCAACAGACUUUUUCUUUGUACCGAAAAAUAAGAAACUUUACCCAGACUGCUUUGUUUAUUUAUUCAAUGCUCAGAUUUAGUUGUCUUCUUAUUUCAAUGAAGUUUUCUUCUACUAAUGCUUAGCUGUUUUCCAUUGUGGGCUAGUCUUCAGGAACACCGAUUCUAUGCAUGUCAGAACUGCUCACUCUUUCUUAACAACCAUUUUCUCAUUGCUUUGACUUGGUUCACAGAGUCACUUUGACAUCAUGAUAUCUCUAACGUAGUUUUGAGAUAUCAGAAGGCAUUCUUAUCUUUCUGAUAAAAAUAUCAGAGGUAUUUUUCACCUCCCUUUUCUGUGCUGACUGCCUCCAGCUCAUGUUUCGUCUCUCUGUUAUGUCUUUACCCUUUCCAUUUUACCUGUUAGAGGAGUUCUUUUUCCAGCGUGAGUCGUCCAUAAUUUCUUCAAGUAUGAAAAAGUAUUUCUAUGCAAUUACCUAAUUUCUCCCGAAACAUGGAUUCUCAUACAAAGUGUUCACCUGCUUUUCUAUGCUAAUUUUAGUGGGGACAACAAUAAAACAACGUGGAGAGGGUGUCUAUGCAUGGAUCCCCUGGAACUUCUUUCUGGACAUUGUUCGUGUUGUAUGGGGCAGCUUUUCAAGCCAGUCAUUUGUUCAAAGAUAGUUUUGGAAGGGAUGGGUAUAAUAAUAUAGAUGAUCCGGAAAUUUCCAAUUUUAUACCAGGGAUGGUAUGAAACCAUCAAAAGAUUUUAGCAAAGAGGGAAAUCAUAUAGACACACAUUAAGAACAAUGCAAGCAGGGGCGCCUGGGUGGCGCAGUCGGUUAAGCGUCCGACUUCAGCCAGGUCACGAUCUCGCACUCCGUGAGUUCGAGCCCCGCGUCAGGCUCUGGGCUGAUGGCUCAGAGCCUGUUUCUGAUUCUGUGUCUCCCUCUCUCUCUGCCCCUCCCCCGUUCGUGCUCUGUCUCUCUCUGUCCCAAAAAUAAAUAAACGUUGAAAAAAAAAAUUUAAGAACAAUGCAAGCAGAAUUUGUGUGGAAUAGAGAAGGAAAAAACAUAUAAAUAAAUAUGAUACCAUUUUGAAACAACUGAUAGGGGAAAAAAAUCCAUUGUUUAUCUCUAAAUACCUAUGGAGAGCUCUUAAAAUCAACUCAUUUUCCAAACUUUUCAACCACCCCCCACCAUUUUCUGAUGGUAUUCAAAUGGUCUUCACCUCCAGAACCCUGAGUGAAUUCUUUUAUUUUAUUCCAACUAGUUAUUUCAUUGAGAUAUAGUGGACAUACCCAAGUGAUUUCUUUAACACUUAAUAUCUCAUUUAUGAGAAAAGUAUUUUAAGUAUUAAUAAUAAUACUAUUCGAAUUUGGAAACUUUGGCAGUCCAUAACCUACAUUUAAUCCUCUCCUAACCCACUUCACAUUUUCUAUUUCUUGACUCAUCUUUGAUGGGUUUUUUGGUUUCGUUGUUGUUUAACAAAUCACCUCCAAAAUUUAGCCUCUUAAAACAACAAACAUUGAUUAUAUUGCAGUCUUUCUAGAUCAAGAAUCUGAAUGUCCCUCAGUGAGAUGCUCUGCCUGAGAGUUUCCCAAGAUGUUGGACAGGGAGACAGGCAUGUCAGGGUUCAACUGGAGGACGUUCUGUUUCCAACCUCACUCACAUGGCUGCUAGCUGGCUUCCGAUCUUCAAUGCCUUUUGGCUGUAGAUAUCAGUUGUUUGACAUGUGGAUCUCUCCAUAGGGUCCUAAGGAAUAAAGAGGAAGAAAGUUUAUGGGACACAGAAUUCAGUUUUUUGUAGCCUAAUGUCAAAAGUGACAUUCCAUCAUUUUGUUGUAUUCUAUGCAUUAGAAGUUAGUUACCAGGUCCAGCCCGUGCUCCUGCGUGCAAAAUACAUUCAUCCUCCCAAAAGCCCCAAACAUCUAAUCCCACUAAAAUAUCAGCUCCUAGUGUGGAAUCUUACCAGAUAAAUCAGGUUCAUAGGUGGAUGCUUCUUUGGACAUCGUUCUUUAAGUACAGUUUCUCUAGGUAUACAGAUCUGAGAAAUUAAGGAGACAAGCUUCUUAUAACAAAAUGUACACUGUCAUACGAUGAGGAGAAAUGGAUUUUUGUCCACACUGUUUAUCUUUGGGUCUUUAAGGUCUCAAAAAUUUUAAGAUCCUCGACCUCUUGCCAAUUGUUUUCUAGAAAGGUUGUGUCAAUUAAAUUCCAUGCUGAUUAAGCAUAACAGUGCCACUUCUCAUUCUUAACAUCCCCAAGAACUUUCCUUUCAUUUCUCUAAUAUUUGCCAGUUUAAUAGGUGAAAAUGGUACUCACUUAUUUGGUACUUUAUUCUAGUCAUUUUGUUGUCAUAGGGAUCAUUCAUUCAUACUUCUAGCUUGAAUGUACCUUAGUAGAGUGUAAAGGAUUAAACCCAGUUGUAGUUCGGACCCACAGAACUGUGCCUGACUUAGGUUUCACUUAGUAGUUGCAACAUACUAGGUCUUUCAACUGUCAGUUUGUAUAAACCCUAGAAUCACAUUGCGAGGAUUCACGCCCUCCCUUUCCUGUUUACUUAUUUUGUUGCCUUGGACAAGAUAUAGUAAUCUUUUCAGACCUAUUUCUUAGUACGAUGAGGAGAUUUCUUAGUACAACCAGUACAAUCGGGAGAUAAGGAUGCUUUGUGGAGACUGAGACCACAUGUGUAAUGGGUUUAAGAAAGUUUCUGGGGGGCGCCUGGGGGGCUCGGUCGGUUGAGCGUCCGACUUCGGCUCAGGUCAUGAUCUCAGUUCGUGGGUUCGAGCCCCGCGUCGGGCUCUGUGCUGACGGCUCGGAGCCUGGAGCCUGCUUCGGAUUCUGUGUCUCCCUCUCUCUCUGCCCCUUCCCCGUUCAUGCUCUGUCUCUCUCUCUCAAAAAUGAAUAAACGUUAAAAAAAAAUUAAAAAAAAAAACAAAGUUUCUGGCUGGUGGUAGGCUCACUCCUCUGUUGGCCUAAUAUAUGUUGCCUAUGCUAAGUUACAGUCUCUACAAAAAUAAACACACACACACACACACAAGUUAUCCAUAAAAGUAUAUAUAACAUCCUUUGAUCAUUCAAAAAAAGUCAUGGAAAAGGGUGUUAUUGUUAUCUUUUAAGUAAUUUGUGAAGUAGGGAGGAAAGUCAUUGUGUAUAUCGGAUUUUUAAUCUGCAAAGGCUCCUUUGCAGUUUUGCACAGGAAGCACUAAACUUUAUCACAGGGUAUAGCCCUGAUCUGCACAGUCAACAACACAGUUAUUGGUGCAUCAAAUUAAAUAAUGUGGAUUUAGGCACUUGGCAGGUAGCUUUAACUUUCUUACUUCGGUAUACAACUAUGUAAAACUCAGGUACAAGGAGGGAUGUAGAUUACUUACCUAACAAAGAUUUCAGAGUCUGUUUCAGACUUCGUUAAAGCCCAAGAAGUUUUUCUCUUUAAAACUACACUUCUUUCUGAGCCUGGCAAUGGGGAAAGAGGGAAAGAGCAACUGAAUGGUUUUGAAGGUGACGGAGACAGACGUGGGAAGCGACUUUCUCACUGGGUGAGGAGUCUAUAAGGAAAGUGAGUUAAGGGAGGAGGGAUGGUUGGCGGUUAUGGGUGCUCCCCCCCUGCCUCUGGGCUAUCUGGGACGCGCAUAAAGGGAAAUUUACUUCAAGAGUAUGUGGAAGGAAUUAGAGGUUUAUGGAAUGGCAUUCGUGGUGUUAAGAACAAAACAACAGGUCCAAAAUGGAGUCACUUGUGUUAAGCUCCACAUUACCGAAAAGACUUAAUUAUAAUUUCAGCUUUCCCAGAAAUGGCAUCUUAAGCCAGGCAAUCAGAAAUCGCCUGAUCAGUGCUAGCGAGGUUAUUUGCCCGAUAGACCCCUGCGAUCCCCUAAAGGAAGGUACCUUUGUGAAGAUCGACCUUUUUUUCUAACACAACUUGCUCGAUGCUACUCCCUUCUUUUAUCUUGUAGAGUCUUUCAUUUUGUAAAACUCUUCAAAGCUUCCUUCCGUCUGCUAGACCGGAUGCUGCUGACUCGAAUCCAUUUUUGUUCAAAUAAACCUUCAGCAUUUUAAAUAUGUUUCAGUUUACCUUUCAACAAUGGGGUGAUAUCUCCAGGGAGCCGGUCAUAGGAGGAGGUCGGAGUUUUAGAGGUCAGGGUAUGUCCACUUACCAACCUACGUCCACAUAGUAACAGAUGAAAAUAAGUUCCCAUAUGCCAACUUUCCCCUCCCUUCCCAUUUUCCCCUCUUACUGACAUCUUGCAUUAGCGUGGUGCAUUUGUUGCCAAAAAAAUCCAUACUUUCCAUUAAGGCUGUCUCUAUUUAUAUAUUCUCUGUGUUUUGACAAAUCUAUAAGAACAUGUCCAGCAUUACAGUAUCAGACAGAAUAGUUUCACUGCCCUGAAAAUCCCGUGGGCUCUGCCUCUUUAUCCCUCCCUUCUCUUACCCCUCAGCCUUGUGAAUUACAGAUCUUUUCACUGUCUCCAUAGUUCUGCCUUUUCCAGGAUGCCAAAUUGUUGGGGUUUUCUAGUAUGUAGCCUUGUCAGAUCGUCUUCUUUCACUUAGCAACAUGCAUUACAGUUUCUUUUAGGUCUUUUCUUGACCUAAGGACUGCCACCCCCCCCCCCCACUCCUUACUUAAGUCCCUAGAUAAUAUGCCAUUGUUUGUAUGUUCCACACUGCUUAUCCAUCCAUCUAUUGACAGACAUGGCGGCUGUGGGACAGACAGACAGACAAGCUGCUACAAACAAGCUUGGGCAGGGGCGCCUGGGUGGCUCAGUCCGUUAAGCGUCCGACUUCAGCUCACGUCACGAUC